rnacentral:rRNA from 1 species
GAUGAACGCUGGCGGCGUGCCUAAUACAUGCAAGUCGAGCGAACAGACGAGGAGCUUGCUCCUCUGACGUUAGCGGCGGACGGGUGAGUAACACGUGGAUAACCUACCUAUAAGACUGGGAUAACUUCGGGAAACCGGAGCUAAUACCGGAUAAUAUAUUGAACCGCAUGGUUCAAUAGUGAAAGACGGUUUUGCUGUCACUUAUAGAUGGAUCCGCGCCGCAUUAGCUAGUUGGUAAGGUAACGGCUUACCAAGGCAACGAUGCGUAGCCGACCUGAGAGAGUGGUCGGCAAAGCUGGAACUAAGACACGGUCCAGACUCCUACGGGAGGCAGCAGGAGGAAAUCUACCGCAAUGGGCGAAAGCUUGACGGAGCAACGCCGCGUGAGUGAUGAAGGUCUUCGGAUCGUAAAACGCUGUUAUUAGGAAAGAACAAAUGUGUAAGUAACUAUGCACGUCUGGACGGUACCUAAUCAGAAAGCCACGGCAAACUACGU